rnacentral:rRNA from 1 species
UACAGAGGGUGCUAGCGUUGUCCGGAAUUAUUGGGCGUAAAGAGCUUGUAGGCGGUUUGUCGCGUCUGCUGUGAAAUUUCGGGGCUCAACCCCGAACUUGCAGUGGGUACGGGCAGACUAGAGUGUGGUAGGGGAGACUGGAAUUCCUGGUGUAGCGGUGAAAUGCGCAGAUAUCAGGAGGAACACCGAUGGCGAAGGCAGGUCUCUGGGCCACUACUGACGCUGAGAAGCGAAAGCAUGGGGAGCGAACAGG